GAAAGAGCUCAACUAGCCUGCUAACCUGGUGCUCCAAGCCUAACCCCUUGGCUCUUC
rnacentral:tRNA from 1 species